GUUUUGGAGUGCAGGCGUGAAUAGUCCUUUCUGUCCUGCUUUGAGUACUGCUGUUGGGUGCCUUGGGGGGACCUUAAGGGAGCUCGGAAGUUGAGACGUGGUGAGUGCGAGAUCACUGCCCACAAAGGGGAGGAGCAGGCGGAUGAACAGCCAGAGCUGCAAUGGUGGAUCCUCCUCCAGGGCUGCAUGGGACGACAGAUAGAUGAGGCUCUAGGACGGGCACAAAUGCUACCCGAAUGCAAACCACUCCGGAGAUCUGUAAAAGGACUGGCCCCGGACAGGAAGCACACUUUAAACUAGAGGCGGGGUAAGACUCGUGGGCCAAUCAAGGCUUCCGAACAGAACUGCCAUUCUGGCAAUGAGGCGGGGUCUUCCGGUUGCCUGCUGGAAGUUUGUUUUUGCUCUGCAGGAUUGAAGGGUUCUCCCUAUGCUGCUUUGAGCGCUGCUAUUGGGUGCCUUGAGGGGACCUCAAGUAAGCUCCAUUUUUGAAACAUGAGUCAAAGCCCCGGUGAAGAUUCUGUGACGGUUCAUUGUAUAAUUUAUGAUGAUGAAGAUUGAGUUGCAUUUUGCGGAAAAGAGAUGUUGAGAUAUCUAAGGCAUUGAGAAAUCUGUCAUGCAGACAUGCACACAGGGAGAGGGAGUACCCAAACUGAUGAGAACUUACAGGAAUUGGACCAUCUAAGCCCUUAGAAAGUGAAGUCCACUGUGUCUCAAACAAAGGAUGGCAAGUGUUCAUGACAUCAAUACUACCCAAGGCUUCAGAGUCAUUGGAUUGCAGGUGUUUCCUCUAUGUUUUAAAUUCAGAACUAUUCCAUCCAUCUUUUGGCAGAAUCAGAGCGCUCGGUGAAGAUUCUGUGAGGGUUCAUUGUAUAAUUUAUGAUGAUGAAGAUUGAGUUGCAUUUUGGGGAAAAGAGAUGUUGAGAUAUCUAAGGCAUUGAGAAAUCUGUCAGGCAGAGAUGCACACAGGGAGAGGGAGUACCCAAACUGAUGAGAAGUUACAGGAAUUGGACCAUCUAAGACCUUAGAAAGUGAAGUCCAAAGUGUCUCAAACAAAGAUCUUCAUCCACAUCUUGAAGUUUGAAGUUUGGCCAAGAAUAUACAGAGUAGAUUCUCUUUCUCAGGAUGGCAUGUGUUCAUGACAUCAAUACUACCCAAGGCUUCAGAGUCAUUGGAUUGCAGUGAUGUCAGGAUUAUGCUUUGUGUUGUCCAAAUCUAUGGGAUAUUUUAGGAUGCAGUGACUUAUGAUGAUGUGCGUGUGAACUUCACUGAGGAAGAGUGGGAUUUGCUGGAUCCUUCCCAGAAAAGUCUUUAUGAAGAGGUGAUGCUGGAGACCUACCAGAACAUCACUGCUAUAGG
rnacentral:lncRNA from 1 species